GGGUUGUGACGUCAUCCCCGGGGGCGGGACCGGAGCCCGGGGCCGGGAGCCAGAGCCUGCGCGGUUGCCUGGGUGACGGGAACACAACAUGGCGCAUUGGGGGCCGUGCCGGCUAGGGCGCUGUGCUGCGGUCGGAAGGGCCCCACCUCGCUUUUGCUCUUCCGAGAUCUGCAGGAGGGCGCAGGACGAAAAUUUCCAGCCUCUUUCCUGGAUCUAGUGAGCUGGACCAAAUUUCAAAAGUCUACAAUGUUACAGGCGUUCUGGCUAACAAAGCUUUCCACAAGUUCAAGCAGUCAAGAAUCGCAAGGUUUGGUUUCUCCUUUAAAAAAGGAAAAGGAAUGCUUCCUGUUGUGCAGUUUGCCUCCCAAAGGCUUCUCUCUCCUGUAUGCAAUGAUAAAAUAUGAUCCUGAUGAGAGAAUUGCUGCCCAUCAAGCAUUACAGCUUAUUUUCAAGAACUCUGGCAAGUGA
rnacentral:lncRNA from 14 species